CGAAUUUCUUGGUGGAAAAGAAGAGAAAAACUCCCAACUUCUUUCUUCAAUUUCUUGCUUGAAUCUCACAAAUCAACCGUUUAAAUUCCAAAAUUCUCCACAAAAGUGAGUUGCUAAACUAGUUUAAGGGGAUUGGUGGAGCCAUUUGGGAAGAACAAGCCCUAGCUAUCUUGUUUCUUGAGGUUACAAAGGUGAGUGGUUAAGAAAUUAUCCCUUUGUUGGUUUUGAUGUGAAAUUAGUAGAGGUUGGUAGUUAAAGAUGCAAUUUUGUGGAGUAUUUCAUGAAUUAUGGUUGUGUUGUCUAAGUUUUCUAUUUAUUGGGAAUUUUUCUGUUUUCAUAUGAUUAAUAUUGUUUGAUCAUGUAUGAUGGUCUAGUAUGGGUUAGAAUGAAGCUUUGGUAUGAUAAUUGUAAUGAUUAGUGGAAAAUUUCUGGUUUGAAGCAAAAAUUUCCAGAUUAGGGUUUCAUUUUUCCCAAUUCUGCCUGGCACUGUUCAUCAUAGUUAGAGGCCGAAUUAGCCUUGGGUUAAAACAUGAAAGUUGUAGGGAAUGAUAUUUUAGAGAUGCCUGAAAAAUUUCAGGUCAAUCGGAGCAACGUAUCUUGUGAAAAGACUGAAAUACCCCUGCUGCCCUGUUUCUACCCGAACUUGAGAAUUGCUUCUCUGAUUGGCUAAUUUGAUUGGGAAUGCUUCUGAUUUGGUUGUUGAUGUCUUCUGAAUAAUUGUAGCCUCAUAUCUUAUCUUUCGGAUGGCUUUGGAAUCACUUGAUUUGGACUUAGGUAGCCUGACUUAUGAUGUUUGAACCAGAAUGCGGUUGGUGAACCUGUUUUUGCGGUUCUGGUUUAGUAUAUUGAAUUUUUGACCUGAUUGCACUAGAAACUGGACUGAGUAGCCUUCUUCAACAUUGUAGCACUAUCUCUUAGCUUUGAAACGGUGUAUCUUGCACCUCCAUCCGAUAAUCGUAGUGCCAAUGGUGCCAAAACCGCAAAAUGAUGUCAAAAACUGUUUUAUGGUUUAGAGCUUAACUUUCAUUUCUGGACUUUUCCCUAGCUUGAAUUGUACUGGUACUACUUGGACCUUACUGAACGGCUAUUGAAAUUAAAUUGUUGUGUGUGUACCUUUGGGUUUGAAUAAGAAAAAUAAUGAAGCCAUAAAUGGCUGGAAAGAGGAAAAUACAAAGGGCGUGCUGCCCAAAUUUUCGCUCAAGGGCUAAGCUUCUAUUUGAACUUGUAUAUUUUCGUUUGGCAAAUACUAUCCCCGUUUUCCAUCUAAAACAUGAUACCUUUUCCAUUUGAACCUUCAAAUGUUUAUUUGCUACUUCAUACCAAAAUAUCGAGGUAUGACCUAAGGUUUUCUCAGUCAAGACAUGUAGGCCAUAAUACCUACUUGAAUGUAUAUUGAUUUUGAACCACAAACGAUUCCGAAAACUAAUAUUUCUGAGCCUAUCUGGUUGGAUUCCGACUUGACUUUGAUUCAAGUGUUUUCCAUUGGAACUGUUAUAACCCUUUGAGUUUGGUUUAUGACACCCUAGUUGUUUCCGUCCACAGAUCCAAGUGGCUUUAUUUUCACUUUAAAGUCACAUUUAUCCGUUUUACUCGUAACUAGUCGAGUUCCUUGAUUCCACUUACUUGUUUUGCUAGAUGAAUUGUAAUAUUCUUUCUCGUUGAAUCAUAGGUUUUCUCGGUGACCGAGGGUAAGAUUCGAUAGGACAUUUUGGACGUUAUUUUGCAUAAUUCGGUGAGUGUUCCUUGUUUGUUAUAUUUCCUUGAUUUAUUGGCUUGUUAUUAUUGAUUGAUAAUGUGUCAAGUGUUUUCAAUGAUUGGCCAAAACGAGUUUUCUAGGCGAGUGUGUACUUUAUCGCACUCAGCCUAUAUGAUUGUGAAAUUUUCAAUGAUUGAACGAUUGAAAUGUUACUUGUGCAUGAAUGUAAGCCUUUUGGCUGAACUGGCCACUGCCCCUUGUUACCGAUCGACUCGAGCCAGAAGCGGACUCGGUCGGGCGAUUUGGUGACCUGGGUGAACGUUUGGUAUACUCGAGUAUUACCUUGUAGGUUGGUGGAGGUUGGUGGAGCCUGGCCAAUGCCCAGGAAGGGUUGAAUGAAAUGAACGAACGAACGAACGAACGAGGGUUUUAUUGAUAAAUGAACAAUGCAUUUUCAAACGAAUGAAGGAAUAAGGGGAAUGACAGGAGAACGAACGAAUGAACGAACGUAUCCUUUUCAUGUGUGACUAUUGUAAAUGUUGUAAAUGUUUCUUGACUUAUUGUUCGAUUUAUGGCUUGAUUCUAUAUUCGGAACCUCACUGAGCUUUUAGCUCAUCCCUUUAGUUUUGUUUUCCUUAACAGGGGAAGGCGAGCAAGGGCUAGAGCUCUGUACCGACUGGUUGGGUCUAGUUUUGGUUUUGUUUUGAUUCUCGCCCUAGUGCUUGGCACGGGCUGGUUGUAUGGUGAUUUGAGAACUUUUGUAUUCUCGUCGGUUGUACUACUUUCGGAG
rnacentral:lncRNA from 1 species